GGGCUUCGGCCCCGGUACAGUGGCGCACGGGUGAGUAACACGUAGGCAAUCUCCCCUCGAGUGGUGGAUAACCUUCCGAAAGGAGGGCUAAUACAGCAUGAGACCACGGAUCCGCAGAGUCUGUGGCCAAAGCGGACCUCUUCAUGAAAGUUCGCGCUUGAGGAUGAGCCUGCGGCCCAUCAGCUAGUUGGUAAGGUAAUGGCUUACCAAGGCUAAGACGGGUAGCUGGUCUGAGAGGACGAACAGCCACACUGGAACUGAGACACGGUCCAGACUCCUACGGGAGGCAGCAGUGGGGAAUCUUGCGCAAUGGGCGAAAGCCUGACGCAGCGACGCCGCGUGAGCGAUGAAGGCCUUCGGGUUGUAAAGCUCUGUGGGGAGAGACGAAUAAGGUGCAGCUAAUACCUGCAUCGAUGACGGUAUCUCCUUAGCAAGCACCGGCUAACUCUGUGCCAGCAGCCGCGGUAAGACAGAGGGUGCAAACGUUGUUCGGAAUUACUGGGCGUAAAGCGCGUGUAGGCGGCAGCGUGUGUCGGGCGUGAAAUCCCACGGCUCAACCGUGGAAGUGCACCCGAAACUGCGCAGCUAGAGUCCUGGAGAGGAAGGUGGAAUACUUGGUGUAGAGGUGAAAUUCGUAGAUAUCAAGUGGAACACCGGUGGCGAAGGCGGCCUUCUGGACAGUGACUGACGCUGAGACGCGAAAGCGUGGGGAGCAAACAGGAUUAGAUACCCUGGUAGUCCACGCCGUAAACGAUGAGUGCUAGGUGUCACGGGCUUUGACCCUCGUGGUG
rnacentral:rRNA from 1 species